rnacentral:rRNA from 1 species
GAUGAACGCUGGCGGCGGGCCUAACACAUGCCAGUCGAGCGGAAGCACGAGAAGCUUUCUUUCUUGAUGUUAGCGGGGGACGGGUGAGUGACACGUGGAUAACCUUCCUAUAUGACUGGGGUAACUUCGUGGAAACGGUGCCAAUACCGGCUAAUAUUUUCAACCGCAUAGAGCAAAAGUUAUAGGCGGCUUUCCCGUCACUUUUAGCCGGUUCCGCGCUGCAUUAGCUAGUUGGUAAGGUAACGGCUUACCAAGGCGACGAUGCAUAGCCGACCUGAGAGGAUGAUCAGCCACACUGGAACUGAGACACGGUCCAGACUCCUACGGGAGGCAGCAGUGGGGAAUAUUGCGCAAUGGGCGAAAGCCUGACGGAGCAAUGCCGCGUGAGUGAAGAAGGCCUUCGGGUCGUAAAGCUCUGUUAUUGGGGAAGAACAGAUGUAUGUGAAUAUCUGGACAUCUUGACGGUACCUAAAGAAAAAGCCCCGGCUAACUACGUG